CUGCAAUAAAAUCCUGUUCAUAGCAUAUUGCCAUGCAUGCAUUCUCAUCCCUAAUGCUUCUCUGUGAGAAGCAUUGGAUUAAACAAGAUUGUGGAUGACAUCAGUAGAGAUUCUGACAUUAAUGUUGCUGGAAGCUGCAGAGGAUAAAUCUGUGCUGGAAAUUAGGCAAGUUAAAUAGUUAAUGAAACUUUUAUACAGCAAAGGUGGGACAGUGAUUACACUGAUAAAUGUCCCAAAAUAAAAAAAUGUCAGUACUAUAGUUUUCCUUUAA